GCAGUGAUCCUUCUGAGUGACAUCAGGCCUUGGGCUGAGCAUGGUGUCAACCUUCGCGACGUGUGUAGUCGCGUGUUCUUUUCCUUCCGCUGUGAGCUUGGACAAGCUGUUCAGCUUGUUAGUUUAAACACUGUUUGUAUAAGUUUUAUUUUAAGUUUGAACCAGAUUUGUAAUAAUACUUGUAUAUUUGUAAAUUAAGUUGAUGAGCUGUACUGUGAUUGUAAACUCACCUUCGGGUGAGGUAAACCUGCUUCGAUCCUGUUGAACCGUGGUUGUAUCGGGCGGAGAUCCGACAGACCAAUGGGUUGUUCCAUUUGAAGUGCAAUGAGUUAUUACCGGCUGUAUAGCGAUGACUAGCGCAUUUGAAUCGGAAUAAUUC
rnacentral:lncRNA from 1 species